AAAACUGAUGCUAUAAAUAAAUAUAUUUUUGAAAGGAAUCCCUCUUUUCUUUUCUAACGCUAACGCGACUGUGUAUGCCCUAAAUCUUCAAUUUCAGUCCUCAUAUUUCUUCGAUUCCAGGGUAUUUGGUUCCCAGACUUGUUUAUGUCGACAAGUUUGAGUUUGUGAAUGUUGAGAAAUAUAAAUGUAUUGGACAUGGCUCAAGUUUGGCAGGGAAAAGUCUCACGAGACACUGCUCUACUGAUGUCGACAAGGAACUUGCUGUCUUGCGGAUUAGAGAAGCUAUUGAAGCAGCCUCUCUUGAGAGGAUAAGCGGCGGGACGAUUGAGAUUGUCUCGCUCGCCAAAAAUAACUCCUACAAUGUUGAGUGGAAAGGGGCGAUUGGUUGUUGAAGGCAAUUGCGAAUAUAGACAAUUACAACUUUUGAAAGUCAUUAUGACACGGGACUUGUGCAUGAGUAAAGAUCAUGCUGAAUUCCUCGAUAUUCCCUUGUAAAAUGAUUUUACGGGGAAAUUUCCACUUGUUUACUACUUCCAUGAUCUAGAGUCUUCAUUUGUGUUGGAUUAAAACCCUUCUAGAAUGAGAGCUGAGGCUGCACUUCCACUUAACUUGUUUCUACAUCAGUAAGCCCCCUUCUCAAGUCUAAGUUCUAGCUAGGAUGAGGUUAGGUUAGGGAAUUAUUUGUCAGCUACUAAACCUUGCAUUAGUCUUGAAAUUUAAUUAGGUUAGGGUAUUAUUUGUUUUCUCAACAUUACUUUCCCAGCUCAUCUGUCACUCCAGAGACUGAUUCUCCUUCCAUCUCCAAGACUCUUUAAGAAUUUUGCCAGAUUCUGCCUUAAGAUGGGCACAAUAUUGGUCAUCCUACACGUAUGGUUAAUCUCUUUGAAUUUCUGCCUGCUUCUUUAUACCCUGAAGGACCUUUGACGUUUAGGGCAACAUCAUCUGUAGCCAGGAUGGGAGUGUAGCCAAAUGUAUACACUGUGACCGAGCUAUGUAUAUCAUGACAUCUCCAAGUGCACUUUCAUAUUCAAUAAUAUACUUAUUAUUAUAUUUGAACUAGUAUCUAAUCUCAUUUGGUACGCAACAGUUAGAACCUUAUCCAAUUCUAGUUUCAUGGAAAGAUCCCAGAUUCCCAAUGUUAAUUGAGUUUAUUGUCUCUAUCCACAAAAAUAAAGCAACUUGUUAGCAACUGUAGCCCAGUAGUAGUUUUAGAAUAACCAGUUCAUGGAUUCAUUCAGUCGUUGCACUUAAGUAAGACACCCCUGAAGAAGCCUUCGGGAAACAUCGAAUAACAGAGGAAAACAGAGUUUAAUCAAGAGAGACUUAGAGAUUGUACAUGCAAUUUAAGGAUGAAAUGAUCGAUCAAAGAAACAACUAAUACCACACGAGUACUUCAUAAUUUGAGUUCUAUCUGUAUCACACUCCACUACCCUCCCUCAAACUGAAGUGGAUAGAACUAACCACUUCUAGUGAAAGUCCACUGCUACCAAAAAAAUUCUUAGCUUGAAUGGAAAUAUACUACAUGUUUUUUCCAUGGUCUAAGAGUUCCAGAUCAUGGGUCACAAGGCCGCAAGGGUACCUGCCAGUCUGCCACCAUUUUUAGUAGUUCAAGACCAGGUUGGAUAUGAUUUUUUGUUGCAGCCACCAUUUCCAGAGUAAAAUCCCGAUUAAAUGCAAGAAUGUGAACCAUCCGGUCUGCAAGAGAUGAAAAAGUAUGUAGCUUGAUUUGUUGUGUACAACCACUACAGGCGAAGAACUACGGUGAGAAAUAGAACCACUCCUCUAGAAGCAAGCAGUAUAUAUAAGAGGAAAAAACAAGAGUAAUACAUUGUAUUUGGAAUUUAUUCCUAUCGGGCAGGAAUGUUUUCUCUCACAGACGUUUAAUUUGAACCGUAUUAUUGAGGAGUUCGUCCUUGACAAGAGGAGCUUCAUUUCCGCUGUAGUU